GACGAACGCUGGCGGCGUGCUUAACACAUGCAAGUCGAACGGUAAGGCCCUUCGGGGUACGCGAGUGGCGAACGGGUGAGUAACCCGUGGGUGAUCUGCCCCUGACUUUGGGAUAAGACGGGGAAACUGGGUCUAAUACCGGAUAUGACCAAGGAGUGCAUGGUUCUUGGUGGACAGCUUUUGCGGUUGGGGUGGGGCCCGCGGCCUAUCCGCUUGUUGGUGGGGUCAUGGCCUACCAAGGCGCCGACGGGUAGCCGACCUGAGAGGGUGAUCGGCCACACUGGGACUGAGAGACGGCCCAGACUCCUACGGGAGGCAGCAGUGGGGAAUAUUGCGCAAUGGGCGAAAGCCUUACGCAGCAACGCCGCGUGCGGGAUGACGGCCUUCGGGUUGUAAACCGCUUUCAGCAGGGAAGAAGCCGCAAGGUGACGGUACCUGCAGAAGAAGCACCGGCUAACUACGUGCCAGCCGCCGCAGUAAGAC
rnacentral:rRNA from 1 species